rnacentral:rRNA from 1 species
UACAGAGGUCCCAAGCGUUGUUCGGAUUCACUGGGCGUAAAGGGUGCGUAGGUGGUGGGGUAAGUCGGAUGUGAAAGCUCGGAGCUCAACUCCGAAAUGGCAUUGGAAACUACCCUGCUAGAGGAUUGGAGGGGGGACUGGAAUACUUGGUGUAGCAGUGAAAUGCGUAGAUAUCAAGUGGAACACCAGUGGCGAAGGCGGAUCUCUGGGCCUUACCUGACGCUGAGGCGCGAAAGCUAGGGGAGCGAACAGG